rnacentral:rRNA from 1 species
CUACGUGCCAGCAGCCGCGGUAAUACGGAGGGUGCGAGCGUUAAUCGGAAUAACUGGGCGUAAAGGGCACGCAGGCGGUGACUUAAGUGAGGUGUGAAAGCCCCGGGCUUAACCUGGGAAUUGCAUUUCAUACUGGGUCGCUAGAGUACUUUAGGGAGGGGUAGAAUUCCACGUGUAGCGGUGAAAUGCGUAGAGAUGUGGAGGAAUACCGAAGGCGAAGGCAGCCCCUUGGGAAUGUACUGACGCUCAUGUGCGAAAGCGUGGGGAGCAAACAGGAUUAGAUACCCUGGUAGUCCACGCUGUAAACGAUGUCGAUUUGGGGGUUGAGCUUUGAGUUUGGCGCCCGUAGCUAACGUGAUAAAUCGACCGCCUGGGGAGUACGGCCGCAAGGUUAAAACUCAAAUGAAUUGACGGGGGCCCGCACAAGCGGUGGAGCAUGUGGUUUAAUUCGAUGCAACGCGAAGAACCUUACCUACUCUUGACAUCCAGAGAACAUUC